CAGCCGCCGCGGGAAUACGGAGGGUGCAAGCGUUAAUCGGAAUUACUGGGCGUAAAGCGCACGCAGGCGGUUUGUUAAGUCAGAUGUGAAAUCCCCGAGCUUAACUUGGGAACUGCAUUUGGAACUGGCAGGCUAGAGUCUCGUAGAGGGGGGUAGAAUUCCAGGUGUAGCGGUGAAAUGCGUAGAGAUCUGGAGGAAUACCGGUGGCGAAGGCGGCCCCCUGGACGAAGACUGACGCUCAGGUACGAAAGCGUGGGGAGCAAACAGGAUUAGAUACCCGUGUAGUCCCUGUCUCUUAUAC
rnacentral:rRNA from 1 species